rnacentral:rRNA from 1 species
AAGUCGAACGGUGACAUCAGAGCUUGCUCUGGUUGAUCAGUGGCGAACGGGUGAGUAACACGUGAGUAACCUGCCCUUGACUCUGGGAUAACUCCGGGAAACCGGGGUUAAUACCGGAUACGAGACGCGACCGCAUGGUCGGCGUCUGGAAAGUUUUUCGGUCAAGGAUGGACUCGCGGCCUAUCAGCUUGUUGGUGAGGUAAUGGCUCACCAAGGCGUCGACGGGUAGCCGGCCUGAGAGGGCGACCGGCCACACUGGGACUGAGACACGGCCCAGACUCC